ACGGCGCACGGGUGCGUAACACGUGGGCAAUCUGCCCUCCGAUGGGGAAUAACCCCGCGAAAGCGGGGCUAAUACCGCAUAACAUUCCGGGAACUCCGGUUCAUGGAUUCAAAGCCGCAAGGCGUCGGAGGAGGAGCCCGCGCACGAUUAGCUAGUUGGCAGGGUAACGGCCUACCAAGGCAAUGAUCGUUAGCUGGUCUGAGAGGAUGGCCAGCCACACUGGAACUGAGACACGGUCCAGACUCCUACGGGAGGCAGCAGUGGGGAAUCUUGCGCAAUGGGCGAAAGCCUGACGCAGCGACGCCGCGUGGGGGAUGAAGCUCUUCGGAGUGUAAACCCCUUUCGACUGGGAAGAAUACCUCGCAAGAGGGGUGACGGUACCGGUAGAAGAAGCCCCGGCUAACUACGUGCCAGCAGCCGCGGUAAGACGUAGGGGGCCAGCGUUGCUCGGAAUUACUGGGUGUAAAGGGUUCGUAGGCGGUGCGGCAAGUCGGGAGUGAAAUCUUUGGGCUCAACUCAAAGGCUGCUUCCGA
rnacentral:rRNA from 1 species